rnacentral:rRNA from 1 species
UUAAACCGGGAGGAAGGUGGGGACUAGACGUCAAGUCCUCAUGGCCUUAUGCUUAGGGCUACACACGUGCUACAAUGGGUGGUACAAAGAGAAGCCAACUCGCGAGAGCGCGCCAAUCUCAAAAAGCCAUCCUCAGUUCGGAUUGGAGUCUGCAACUCGACUCCAUGAAGUUGGAAUCGCUAGUAAUCGCGGAUCAGCAUGCCGCGGUGAAUACGUUCCCGGGCCUU